rnacentral:rRNA from 1 species
UUAUAAAUAAAUAUUAAUUGAUAAAAAAUUAAAUGAAAUCAUUAAAUUUAAAUAAUUUGGCGGUAUUUUAAAUAGUUAGAGGAAUUUGUUAGUUAAAUGAUACCCCACGAAUGGAGUGUCCUAAUGUAGUUUUUAUGUAUUGUUGUAUAAAAAUUAUUUUAUAAAAAUUAUAAUUAAAAUAUUAGAUUUAAUUUGAAUUCAAAUCAAAAUGUAGAAUUGUUAGGAUUAAAUGAAUUACAGUUUAAUUUAAUAGUGGAAUUAUUUUUUAAAUAAGAUAAUAAAAGAGAAUUUAAAAGUAAGUUUAAAAAAAUAUUUAAAUUGAAAAUUUAAUUAAAAUAUG